rnacentral:rRNA from 1 species
ACACAUGCAAGUCGAGGGGAAACGACAUCGAAAGCUUGCUUUUGAUGGGUGUCGACCGGCGCACGGGUGAGUAACGCGUAUCCAACCUGCCCACCACAUGGGGAUAACCUUGCGAAAGUAAGACUAAUACCCAAUGAUAUCUCUAGAAGACAUCUGAAAGAGAUUAAAGAUUUAUCGGUGAUGGAUGGGGAUGCGUCUGGUUAGCAUGUUGGCGGGGUAACGGCCCACCAAGGCGACGAUCAGUAGGGGUUCUGAGAGGAAGGUCCCCCACAUUGGAACUGAGACACGGUCCAAACUCCUACGGGAGGCAGCAGUGAGGAGUAUUGGUCAAUGGACGAGAGUCUGAACCAGCCAAGUAGCGUGCAGGAUGACGGCCCUAUGGGUUGUAAACUGCUUUUAUAAGGGAAUAAAGUGAGUCUCGUGAGACUUUUUGCAUGUACCUUAUGAACAAGGACCGGCUAAUUCCGUGCCAGCAGCCGCGGUAAUACGGAAGGUCCGGGCGUUAUCCGGAUUUAUUGGGUUUAAAGGGAGCGUAGGCCGGAGAUUAAGCGUGUUGUGAAAUGUAGACGCUCAACGUCUGCACUGCAGCGCGAACUGGUUUCCUUGAGUACGCACAAAGUGGGCGGAAUUCGUGGUGUAGCGGUGAAAUGCUUAGAUAUCACGAAGAACUCCGAUUGCGAAGGCAGCUCACUGGAGCGCAACUGACGCUGAAGCUCGAAAGUGCGGGUAUCGAACAGGAUUAGAUACCCUGGUAGUCCGCACGGUAAACGAUGGAUGCCCGCUGUUGGUCUGAAUAGGUCAGCGGCCAAGCGAAAGCAUUAAGCAUCCCACCUGGGGAGUACGCCGGCAACGG